rnacentral:rRNA from 1 species
UACGAAGGGGGCUAGCGUUGCUCGGAAUCACUGGGCGUAAAGGGUGCGUAGGCGGGUCUUUUAAGUCAGGGGUGAAAUCCUGGAGCUCAACUCCAGAACUGCCUUUGAUACUGAGGAUCUCGAGUUCGGGAGAGGUGAGUGGAACUGCGAGUGUAGAGGUGAAAUUCGUAGAUAUUCGCAAGAACACCAGUGGCGAAGGCGGCUCACUGGCCCGAUACUGACGCUGAGGCACGAAAGCGUGGGGAGCAAACAGG